rnacentral:lncRNA from 1 species
CCCAACAGGAUCUCCCACCAGCCCAGCUUUUCUAUAUAGGCUCUGACCUCUGGUCAUCCAAGUUGCAGGAUGUCGAUGACAGACUUGCUCAGCGCUGAGGACAUCAAGAAGGCGAUAGGAGCCUUUACUGCUGCAGACUCCUUCGACCACAAAAAGUUCUUCCAGAUGGUGGGCCUGAAGAAAAAGAGUGCGGAUGAUGUGAAGAAGGUGUUCCACAUUCUGGACAAAGACAAAAGUGGCUUCAUUGAGGAGGAUGAGCUGGGGUCCAUUCUGAAGGGCUUCUCCUCAGAUGCCAGAGACUUGUCUGCUAAGGAAACAAAGACGCUGAUGGCUGCUGGAGACAAGGACGGGGAUGGCAAGAUUGGGGUUGAAGAAUUCUCCACUCUGGUGGCCGAAAGCUAAGUGGCGCUGACUGCUUGGGUCUCCCACCUCUCCACCCCCCAUGCCCCAUCUCAGCCCUUCUCGCGGCCCUCCUGGGUUUCUGUUCAGUUUGUUUAUGUUAUUUUUUACUCCCCCAUCCUUUAUGGCCCUCGAAUGACACCACUCUUCUGGAAAAUGCUGGAGAAACAAUAAAGGCUGUACCCAUCGGACACCACCUGUAGGGAGGACCCAGGCCUGGUAGGGUGUUGGUUUGGCAAGUUUUUCCGGACAGCAGUGGGGGUAUAGUAGAAAAAGUGAGAGAGAGCGAAGGACCACGCCCUGAUAUUUCCUGCCUGCUUGGUACCGAGUGGUCACGUGGGCCACCUUGUUCAGUCUUUGUGCCUUUCCUACAAGGGGAUGGGAUGGCGCAGGGGAUUUUAAAGAUGCAGAAACUGCCUUUUAAAGAGCAGAACGGAAGGGGCUGAGUCCACAGGUGAUUACUUUAUGUCCCUGAGGAAUAACUAGGUCGAAGGACUCAAAUGACACUCUAUCAAUUGCUUUUGACUUUGCUGUGAUAAAAUUCCUGAUAAGAGAAACUUAAGGAA